rnacentral:tRNA from 1 species
UUAAUUUUAAUGAAAAUGAUUCAUUUCUUUUAAACUCAAAAUUUAAUGUGCCAUACACCAAAAAUUA